rfam:Otolemur garnettii contig131070, whole genome shotgun sequence.
AUUGCUUCUCAGCCUUUUGGCUAAGAUCAAGUAUAGUAUCUAUUCUUAACAGUUUAAAAAAUCAGUUUACUUUUUUUUUUUUUUUUUUAAGACAGGGUGUUCCUCUGUCACCUAGGCUAGAGUGCAGUGGCCUUAUCAUAGUUCACUGCAACCUCA